ACAACUUUCAGCAACGGAUCUCUUGGCUCUCGCAUCGAUGAAGAACGCAGCGAAAUGCGAUAAGUAAUGUGAAUUGCAGAAUUCAGUGAAUCAUCGAAUCUUUGAACGCACCUUGCGCUCCUUGGUAUUCCGAGGAGCAUGCCUGUUUGAGUGUCAC
rnacentral:rRNA from 1 species